GACAGAGGUGCCAAGCGUUAGGCGGAAUCACUGGGCUUAAAGCGUGUGUAGGCGGAUUGGUAAGUACCUUGUGAAAUCCCACGGCUCAACCGUGGAAGUGCAUUCGAAACUGCAGGGCUAGAGUCCUGGAGAGGAAGGUGGAAUGCUUGGUGUAGAGGUGAAAUUCGUAGAUAUCAAGCGGAACACCGGUGGCGAAGGCGGCCUUCUGGACAGUGACUGACGCUGAGACGCGAAAGCGUGGGGAGCAAACAGG
rnacentral:rRNA from 1 species